AAUAAGUAUACUUUUACACUGAUGUUUUACGUUUGAUCGACCAUCUUAUUUUUUAAAAAAUUAUGAUUAGUAUUUUUCAUUGUUAUUAGGUGAUAAACAUAAAUAGUAUUUUAUUUGUGACUAUUUCUAAAAAAUUAAAUUUUUUAAAUUAAGAUGAACGGUUAAACGUUGGACACGAAAAUCCACAAAUGCAGUUAUA
rnacentral:pre_miRNA from 1 species